AGGCAGCUGGUGGAGCGCACAAUUGGGGUCCUUAAAGGGCGGUUUCGUGUGCUCCACCGCACUGGUGGCGACAUCAUGUAUUCGCCGGAGAUGGCAAGUAAAAUAGUGGUUCUGUGCGCAAUACUACACAAUAUCGCGGUAAGGAGUAGCGUAGAGCUUCCUCAGACAGAGGAAUUGCCUGAUGAGGAGCCAGGGGUUGUUCGACACUUCGGUGGGGGGAGUGUUACACGGAGGGGGAGCCAAGUCAGGGCAAGCAUUGUUGCUGAAUAUUUCAGCUGAAUGAUCACACAAACUGUGGACGAGAACAACGGCAGACCUCUCAGCCCCCUUCCCCUUCCCAGUCCCCCUCCCCUUCUCACUCCCCCUCCCCUUCGCAGUCCUCCUCAGCUUCCCAGUCCCCCUCAGCUACCCAGUCCCCCUCAGCUUCCCAGUCCCCCUCAGCUACCCAGUCCCCCUCAGCUUCCCAGUCCCCCUCAGCUUCCCAGUCCCCCUCAGCUUCCCAGGCCCACUCCACUUUCCACUCCCCUUCUCACACCACCUCUCUAUCUCUUUCUGUGACCCCUUCUCCUCCUUCCCAUACCCCUUCUCCUUCAACUUCAAACUCACCUUCUCAGCCCCCCUCACCCUCUAUUGGCUUAACUUUCUCUCCGCCCCCCUCGCCCUCUCAAUCAGACCCACCCUCUGAAAUUACAUCCCCAAUCCAGCCUCCUUCCCCCAUCCAGCCUCCUUCCCCCAUCCCUCCUCCUUCCCCAAUCCCUCCUCCUUCCCCAAUCCCUCCUCCUUCCC